GGUUAUGGCUCAAUGGCAGAGUGCUUGCCUAGCAUGUGUGAGGCACUGGGUUCAAUUCUCAGCACCA
rnacentral:tRNA from 1 species